UACGUAGGGGGCGAGCGUUGUCCGGAAUUAUUGGGCGUAAAGGGUUCGUAGGCGGUAAUACAUGUCAGAUGUGAAAUCUUGUGGCUUAACCAUGGUUAGCACUUGAAACUGUAUGACUUGAGUGCAGGAGAGGUAAGUGGAAUUCCUAGUGUAGCGGUGAAAUGCGUAGAUAUUAGGAGGAACACCAGUGGCGAAGGCGACUUACUGGACUGUAACUGACGCUGAGUCACGAAAGCGUGGGUAGCAAACAGGAUUAGAUACCCUGGUA
rnacentral:rRNA from 1 species